rnacentral:ncRNA from 1 species
AAAAGACUUAGUCCUAACCUUACUAUUGAUUUUUGCUAGACAUAUACAUGCAAGUAUCCGCACCCCAGUGAAAAUGCCCUUAUAACUUUUAACAAGCAAAAGGAGCAGGUAUCAGGCUCCACCCAAGCGUAGCCCAAGACACCUUGCCAAAGCCACACCCCCACGGGUAUUCAGCAGUAAUUAACAUUAAGCAAUAAGUGUAAACUUGACUUAGCCAUAGCAACCUUAGGGUUGGUAAAUCUUGUGCCAGCCACCGCGGUCAUACAAGAAACCCAAAUCAAUAGUCACCCGGCGUAAAGAGUGGCCAUAUGUUAUCUCUAAUAACUAAGAUCAAAAUGCAACUAAGCUGUCAUAAGCCCAUGAUUCACUUAAGCCCCCUCAACCAUCUUAGCUACAUGACUAAUUUAAACCCACGAAAGCCAGGGUACAAACUGGGAUUAGAUACCCCACUAUGCCUGGCCCUUAAUCCAGAUACCCAUAUACCCCUGUAUCCGCCCGAGAACUACGAGCACAAACGCUUAAAACUCUAAGGACUUGGCGGUGCCCUAAACCCACCUAGAGGAGCCUGUUCUAUAAUCGAUAAUCCACGAUCCACCCAACCACCCCUUGCCCAAACAGCCUACAUACCGCCGUCGCCAGCCCACCUAAAUGAAAGACUUAAAGUGAGCUCAAUAGCCCCCGCUAACAAGACAGGUCAAGGUAUAGCCUAUGGGGUGGAAGAAAUGGGCUACAUUUUCUAGCAUAGAAUAGAACGAAAAAGGACAUGAAAUCAGUCCUUGGAAGGAGGAUUUAGCAGUAAAAUAGGACCAUACUUUUCAAGCCUAUUUAAAGACGGCCCUGGGGCACGUACAUACCGCCCGUCACCCUCUUCAUAGGCCUCAAACGCCAAUAAAUAAUACUUCUCCCAAAGCCAAAGACGAGGUAAGUCGUAACAAGGUAAGCGUACCGGAAGGUGCGCUUAGACUAUC